UACGUAGGGGGCGAGCGUUUGUCCGGAAUCAUUGGGCGUAAAGCGCGUGUAGGCGGCUUGGUAAGUCCGGUGUGAAACCUUGGGGCUCAACCCCAAGCCUGCACUGGAUACUGCCUCGCUUGAGUCCGGGAGGGGAGAGCGGAAUUCCUAGUGUAGCGGUGAAAUGCGCAGAUAUUAGGAAGAACACCGGUGGCGAAGGCGGCUCUCUGGAACGGUACUGACGCUGAGACGCGAAAGCGUGGGGAGCGAACAGG
rnacentral:rRNA from 1 species